rnacentral:snRNA from 1 species
GUGUUCCCUUGGGCAGUGCAUAUACUAAAAUUGGAGCGAUACAGAGAAAAUUAGCAUGGCCUCUGAGCAAGAAUGACACACAAAUUCAUGAAGCGUUCCAUAUAUUG